UACAUCUGGUGCCCACACAGGGACUCAACAGAGGAAAAUCUGCUGUGAAGGGUCACUUGCCUUUGCUGUGUUCCUGGGAUGGAACACGACCUCCAAUCUGCAUCUACUUCAUUUUCUUUGGAAAAUCCCCAGGCCCUUCAGAGCACUGCUCGCACACUCACCACAGUUACGGUGGGAUCAGGCCCAAAGGACUGCCCUCUCUUCUUACUCACUUUUCACUCAGCUCCUUUGCUCACAGGUGCUCCUGCCAUCCAGAUCAACAAGGACAUAUCUGAACUUGGAACUGACCUGACUGAUGCUGUUUUACCACUUAUCAAGGCUGACUUCUUUUUGCUGUCCUCUACUGUUUCUCAGUCACUUUGACUGAUUUUGUUGGCUCCAUUUCUUUCAAAAUGCCCCUGCUGGCCUGGGGAGAAGAAGGGGAUGCUUCUGUGUUAUCUCCAAUAGGUUCUGUGUGGAUUCUUGCUCACUGAAUUCACCCUGCAUGGUAUGAGUUGGCACCACAGGUUGAACAACCCAGUUCCACAGUUUCACCUCUCUCCGAAUCAAGCCUGGUCACCUCAGAAGUGACCCAGGAUGAUGACUGCUCAGCCAGUGACUUGGGGUGAUAUGAAGGUGCUGAUCCAGUCUGCACAAGACUCUCCCCAUGCUUCUAAAGAGGAACCAACUCCUAAAAAGCUUCUUGUGGUGGUGUUUACCAAAUUGACAAUGAACUCUUUUAUGCUUGUUUGCAUUCUGUUCCUAUAUGUUUUGCAGCCCUCCACGGGGACCUUAAAGUCCUAUGACCUCAAGAAAAAAUUGAAAUACAUUAUUUAGGUUUAUUUGGAAAAAAUAGCUAAUGUCUCUCAUUUCUAUCUAUCAAAAGAUAGAAAUAAAAUACAUUCUUAAGUCCUGUUUGAAUCUGGUAUCCAAAGACCCUGUCUUUCUAAGUAAUUACACCAUUUUUUCCACUAUUCCAAACAAAAUUGUAACAUAUGCUGACUUUCCAAAUUGGGGUAUUCCCACCUUUAAAAAAACCUGAUAAUGCUUUUAAAAUGUUCACUCUAUAUGUGGUAACUUUCAAUGCCUCAUGUGCUCAUGUUGAAAAUUGUACCACUUGAUGUUUUUACCCUCUUAAAAGUACUUGAAAUUAUCCUAGUUAUGAACCAAUAUUACAUGGAAAUAGACAUGUUUCUUUCUCUGCUGGAUGGUUCUUUUCAUGUGAAGAAUAUACCUUCAAUUAUAUACCUGCAAAUUUAUUUCGUAACCCAAAUGCUGCCUGAGCCAUCUUACUAUAUUGUUGCCUUUUCCUGAAUAUACACUGUCUUGCACCAAAUGGUCUACAAUUAGUCUUACUGACCUAUGUGAGGACUCUUCUAUUAGCCUGCUAACCAAAACAGAAAUUUAAGGUUUAGGUAUUCAUUUGGUUGGCAUAUCCACCCUAGUAGCCAAGGCCAGUCUCAGUGUUAAAUAUAUUAGCCUGUCUUGUGGCAAAAAAAAAUUACACUUCCACAGAUUUGGUAUUAGUAAACAAAAAACAAACUGAACACUGACAAGCGAUUUUAGAUAAUCAUACCAUAAUUGAUUAUCUACUUCUGUUACAUAUCAUGGGUGCAUUGGAAUUGCUCGAAUAUGCUGUUUUAAUUUGUCAGAUCAAAGUAAAUCCAUUAAUGAGAAGCUUCAUGAUUUACGAGAACUUAACAGAUACAUGUGUCCCAAGGACUCAAUACUGGAUUAUGGAAUUUCCUUAUGGGAUGGAUACCAGACAUCAAGUGGCUAAAAAAAAGUUUCUUUAUGGUAUUACUGUCCUUAUCUGUUUAAUUGGUAUGGGAUGCCUUGUACAAUGCAUCCCAACCUUAUACAAAAUUUUCGUACCUAAAAUACCGGCUUCUAAUGUGGUAAGAAAACCUAAAAUAAAGAAAAAAGUGGAAGAGGUAGAGAGUCCACACUGACUCCAUUUUGUCCCAGACACAUCUGGUUGACAGUGUCUUGGUACAAAGUACAGGCUUUGAAAUACCUCCCCCACCAAGAUAAAAACAUGAGGUCCUGUAAGGACAAGAAGCAAAACGUUAUGUAAUCUAAAGCAUGUGCAAUAUGAUUUCUUUGUUCUUUAUCUCAAUACCAACUGUUGCUCACGCUGAUCAGAUGACAGCCAUUUUGCUGACCCUUGAUAUGUGUGUCCCUUAUUUUCUCUUUGCUUGCAGAACCCCUACAAUGUACCACACCAGCUUGCAGAUGCCUCUAGUGCUAUAGUUGCUAAUGCUUUCUUUGCUGCUUUCUAAAUUCAGCUUUUCUUACCAUCAGAACACAGAGGCAGAGGACCCUCUAACUUUUCUGGGCGACAAGAGGGGAGAUGACAAAUAAAAAUUCCCCAGUUAAUAUACUCUAAGAAUGUUUAUUGUAUACUCCUAGUUUCUUAAUCUUCUGUGAUGCUUGAUAAAAUCAGGUAUUUUUCAAAGCACUGAAUUAUCAUGGUACAACUACGGAAUCACUGUAUAGUACUGAGGAAAAUCCUUACUGAAAUGUUUGAUUUUGAGCCAAGUUUUUCUUAGAGCUAAGUGGAAUAAUGCUAUAAACCAAAUUUGUAAUAUAUACAGAAUAUUAUAUAAACAAAAUUGUAUAUGAGUCACCCCACAAAUGUUAAAUUUCAUGAGUAUAAAAAGGCUGCUGUCUCUAAACUACUCUGUUGAGAAACAUUCCAUGUAUGCUUAUUGCAUGCUAUCUCCUCUGUUCUUAUGGAGCUUAAAAGACUGGAGAAACUUCAAUAUUACAUUUAAUUUUUACCUAUUAUAUUUUUAUUUUUGCCCGUCAUUUUGUAUUAUGAUGAAAAGAACCAGUAACAUUCUUUUACUAGCUUUGCAAUGCUUCUCGAACAAUGGUGGCAGACCUUUGAGUUUCCAGUGAGAACAGCCUGCUGGGGCAUUUGUGCCAUAGGUUUGCCCCCACUGAUCUAAAACAUGGCUUCAUAGAAGUCAUCAUUACUUUAAUAUUUUUUUCUCCACUGUCACAGUCCAUUCAUUAAAAGUAGACCAAUUAUGUAAAAUUAGUCAGCCAAAGGACAGAUUUGAAACAUAAUUUAUAAUAAAGGAGGCAUAAGAAGUCACCCUGCCACACACCAAAUCUUACGUGGCGAGGUUUUCUCAUCUCUUCCAAGUGUUGUGAGGAUCUUCACUUCAGAGCUCUGAGGAAAGCAACCCAGGUCCAAAUCAAUAAAUACAACAUUUACUCCACCCCAACUCUUAACUAUGCUUCUGAAAGGAGUCCAAUAAUUUCAUCUAUACCUAAAAUAAACUUUUGGGACUGGGUUGUUGAUGCUUCCAUAGUUCAACCUGGCCCCUUGGCUAGCACAAACAGGAAACUCCUGGAGCCACCCAGUAUGACUCUUCAAGCAGAGUUUGUUUCUACCAUGUCAUAAAGGAGAACAUGCUGUUCUUAUCCACUGUUAUGGUUGAUACAGUGUGUCAAUUUGAGAAGUUUAAAAAUUUAACUAGGAGACUCAGCAGGGAGCCAGGACCCUUACUCAGCCUAUCUAAGAGGAGGUGAUGUGAGUGUUACACCCACCCUGGUAGGGAGGUACCUUGCUUACAAAGUAAAGGAGGAGUAGAGGGUCAUUCUCCCUGUCUUUUGCCCUUGUUGCUUUUCUGUCUUCUGCCUCUUUGAAGUGUUACUCCUGUGCAUGCCACUCUGAUUUCAAGCCAGCUGAUUAUGGACUGAAACCUCCACAAACUGAGCCAAAUAAACCUUUCCUUCUUUAA